rnacentral:rRNA from 1 species
GAUGAACGCUGGCGGCGUGCCUAAUACAUGCAAGUCGAGCGAACAGACGAGGAGCUUGCUCCUCUGACGUUAGCGGCGGACGGGUGAGUAACACGUGGAUAACCUACCUAUAAGACUGGGAUAACUUCGGAAAACCGGAGCUAAUACCGGAUAAUAUUUUGAACCGCAUGGUUCAAAAGUGAAAGACGGUCUUGCUGUCACUUAUAGAUGGAUCCGCGCUGCAUUAGCUAGUUGGUAAGGUAACGGCUUACCAAGGCAACGAUGCAUAGCCGACCUGAGAGGGUGAUCGGCCACACUGGAACUGAGACACGGUCCAGACUCCUACGGGAGGCAGCAGUAGGGAAUCUUCCGCAAUGGGCGAAAGCCUGACGGAGCAACGCCGCGUGAGUGAUGAAGGUCUUCGGAUCGUAAAACUCUGUUAUUAGGGAAGAACAUAUGUGUAAGUAACUGUGCACAUCUUGACGGUACCUAAUCAGAAAGCCACGGCUAACUACGUG